GUGAAUCAUCGAAUCUUUGAACGCAAAUUGCGCUCCUUGGUAUUCCGGGAAGCAUGCCCGUUUGAGGGUCAGUAUUAACAAAAACACCGGCUUGGUUGCAAAUUGUGACGUUUCUGGCGUUUGGGCUAUCUUAAUUUUCUAGGUUAAGGGGCUUAAAAUUGACCUUUUUUGUGUAUUUUUAGACGUACAUAAAUUUUUUUUUUACUCGUCUAUUUUUAAUGCCAAAAUCUCAUUAGAUGUGAUUACA
rnacentral:misc_RNA from 1 species